rnacentral:rRNA from 1 species
CGAAAACGAAUUCUCUCUUGAGUGGAUCCUGAGUACGACGGAGCACGUGAAAUUCCGUCGGAAUCUGGGAGGACCAUCUCCUAAGGCUAAAUACUCUCUAGUGACCGAUAGUGAACCAGUACCGUGAGGGAAAGGUGAAAAGUACCCCGGAAGGGGAGUGAAAGAGAACUUGAAACCGUGUGCUUACAAGUAGUCAGAGCCCGUUAAUGGGUGAUGGCGUGCCUUUUGUAGAAUGAACCGGCGAGUUACGAUCUGAUGCAAGGUUAAGCAGAAAAUGUGGAGCCGUAGCGAAAGCGAGUCUGAAUAGGGCGAAUGAGUAUUUGGUCGUAGACCCGAAACCAGGUGAUCUACCCUUGGUCAGGUUGAAGUUCAGGUAACACUGAAUGGAGGACCGAACCGACUUACGUUGAAAAGUGAGCGGAUGAACUGAGGGUAGCGGAGAAAUUCCAAUCGAACUUGGAGAUAGCUGGUUCUCUCCGAAAUAGCUUUAGGGCUAGCCUCAAGUGAUGAUUAUUGGAGGUAGAGCACUGUUUGGACGAGGGGCCCCUCUCGGGUUACCGAAUUCAGACAAACUCCGAAUGCCAAAUAAUUUAACUUGGGAGUCAGAAUGUGGGUGAUAAGGUCCAUAUUCGAAAGGGAAACAGCCCAGACCACCAGCUAAGGUCCCAAAAUAUAUGUUAAGUGGAAAAGGAUGUGGCGUUGCCCAGACAACUAGGAUGUUGGCUUAGAAGCAGCCAUCAUUUAAAGAGUGCGUAAUAGCUCACUAGUCGAGUGACACUGCGCCGAAAAUGUACCGGGGCUAAACAUAUUACCGAAGCUGUGGAUUGUCCUUUGGACAAUGGUAGGAGAGCGUUCUAAGGGCGUUGAAGCAUGAUCGCAAGGACAUGUGGAGCGCUUAGAAGUGAGAAUGCCGGUGUGAGUAGCGAAAGACGGGUGAGAAUCCCGUCCACCGAUUGACUAAGGUUUCCAGAGGAAGGCUCGUCCGCUCUGGGUUAGUCGGGUCCUAAGCUGAGGCCGACAGGCGUAGGCGAUGGAUA